UAACACACUCCUUCUUUCUUUCACACUCUUUCACGUUUCUUUAUUGACGUUGGUGAAUGUUAAUGACACCUAUCGCUGAAAUUAACCUCUUACGUCAUAAAAGUAUAGGUUAAGUUCAUUUUUGGCAACAAACUGAAUUAUGCUUUUUUGAAAAGAAAUUCAAAUAUUUGAAUUAUGUCAAAACUUUUACAAAAUAUAUAACAUGAUGAGAGAUCUUUGUAAAUGUGCUUAGUGCUUUUGAAUAUUAUUGUCGUUUUUUUCGUUGUUGUGCAAUUAUAUGCAAAGAAUUAUUUUCUUUGUGAAUCAUAUCUCAUUUUAGAUGAUACAAAAAAUGUUAACACGACACAAUGUAGUUACAGAAACUCCACAUGUGGAAACAAUACCUAUAAAUCUUGUUGCUACUGAAGAUGGUAGAACGCUUUUGGCAGUAACUGAACAUAAAGAUGGUAUGUUGGAAAUUGUUGCAACUCCAGUUAUGCUUGUUGGACAAAAUGAAACGACGUCGUCAUUGGUCGAUGUAAAAAAUCUAAAUGGGAAUUUAAUAUUACAUUCGCCUGUUUUUCAAAUAAAUGUUGAAAAUAUUGUCAAUGACUCAGAAUUUCAGCAGGUAUCGCAAAAUUUUGAGGGCAAUUCUGAUAAUAUUGAUAAAGUAAAAUUACAAUUAUACAAAGAAGCAAAAGACAAAAAAGUAAUUUCUCAGGAAUAUCAGUCUUCUAUGGAUGAUUCGUUAGCUGAUAAAAAAGAGGAAAAGAUUUGUAAACAAAAUACAGCGAAUGUAACUGUAAAAAAGCACAAUCUUGGAAGGCCUAAGAAAAACAAAAUAAAUUUAGAAAAUUCGGAAAGUUUAACAUGCGAAAUUUGUCAUCAAAAAUUUGUUAAACAAACAUUGUAUCGAAAACAUAUGGAAAAUCAUGCAGAAGAGAAACCACAUCGAUGUCCAAAAUGUUCUGCAUCAUUCAAUGUACCGUCAAAUUUUACUUUACACAUGGCAACGCAUAAUACAGGUGAACCAAAAUGUCCAGAAUGCGGGAAAAAAUUUGCAAGAAUGGCCAGUUUGAAAUCUCAUAUGUUGUUACAUGAAAAAGAAGAAAAUUUAUUCUGUACAGAAUGUGAAGAUGCUUUCUCGACGAAAACUCAAUUGGAUGCACAUUUAAAACUUCAUGGGGAAAAAUGGGCAACGGAGGAAAUACGAAAAUGUAAAUUAUGUAAUAAACAAUUCAGUCAACCAGCUUUGUAUAGGCUUCAUAUUCGUGAACAUUAUAGGUUGCAGACAAAAGUAGUGAAACAAACGAAAAAAGGAACAAAGCACAAAACGAUGUAUAAGUGUACCAUAUGUUUGAAAUCUUUUCAAAAACCAAGUCAAUUAAUGCGGCAUAUUAGAGUGCACACUGGUGAGAAACCCUUUAAGUGUACAGUGUGUGGUCGUGCAUUCACGCAAAAAAGUUCAUUGCAAAUUCAUACAUGGCAACAUAAUGGUAUUCGACCUCAUGCUUGUGAAUUUUGUAAUGCCAAAUUUAGUCAAAAAGGUAAUUUAAACGCCCAUAUAAUGAGAGUUCAUAAUAUCCCAGAAGGAGAACCUAUAUAUAAGUGUAAUUAUUGUUCAUGUGUAUUUAAAAAGGUCGGUAGUUUAAAUAGUCAUAUGAAACGUAUGCACACCGAUAUAAAUGAGGGAAAUGUGAACGAUGUUGCUGUUAACGAUGAUACUUUCCCGACCGAUACUAUGGAGUCCGAUAUACGUGCGACCGUGGAUAACGUUAUCACACAAUUGGCAUCUUUGGAAUCUGACGCGCAUCAAACUACGGAAUCAUCAAAUUUCCAAUCUUGUUUAUUAUCAGAAAAUGUGUCGAAGAAAGAUAUACUGCAACAAGCAUUAAAAAACAGUGGUCUAUCCAGUAAAAAUAAAAUUAUUUCUGAAGGUGUAUCGGAAGCAAAAAAAUUUGGAGCUCGUGUUAAUUUUGUUACAUUAUUGGAUCGAGCACCUGACGGUGAUACGAGAAAAUAUUUGACGAUAAAACAACGAUGCGUAGGAAAUGUAAGAUGGUACGCGUGUACUUUUUGUCACAAAGAAUUCAAGAAACCAUCAGAUCUGAUUCGUCAUUUGCGUGUACAUACACAAGAAAAACCUUUUAAGUGUACCUAUUGUUAUCGUUCGUUCGCUUUGAAAUCUACUAUGAUAGCACACGAACGCACACAUUCAAGUGUCAAAAGAUACGUUUGUAAUUCUUGCGACAAAACAUUCGUCUCUCAUGGUAGUUUAAUUGCCCAUACUAGAUUACACGUAAAAUCUGAUAAUAACAAGGAUUCCAAUAUGCAUAUUACAAUUGAUACUGAUAUUCAUUCUACUAAUCAAUCGAAAACUCAAAUAAAAAAUAAAUCAAAAUUAUCACAAGAAGCAGAAACUCUAGUACCUCAAGUAAUUUUACAAGAACCGUUGCUAAUUAAUGACGUGGGAAACAAAAUUUGUGUAGCGCAAAUAUCUUCAAAAGAAAAACAUGACGGAACUAUCGAUCAAUCCAGACCUCACAAGUGUUGGAUUUGUCAGGCAGCAUUCAGAAAAAUUAGUCAUUUGAAGCAGCAUCAUCGUCGUCAUACGGGAGAACGUCCGUAUAAGUGCACAAAAUGCGAUAGGAGAUUUACAUCGAAUAGCGUUUUAAAAUCGCAUUUGCAUACUCAUGAGGAUUCGAGACCAUAUGGUUGUUCAAUUUGUAAUGCGAAAUUUUCAACACAAAGCAGUAUGAAAAGACACAUGGUUACUCACAGUAAUAAAAGACCGUUCAUGUGUCCAUAUUGUCAUAAAACUUUUAAAACUUACGUCAAUUGUCGGAAACAUAUGAAAAUACAUAAACAUGAAUUGGUACAACGGCAACUAGAACAACAGAAAAUCAGAAUUCAAGAACAAUCUUCAGAUAAAUUGAAUUUAAAGGAAAAUUCUAAACAAGAAACGGCUCUCGAAUCGUCUUGUUCCUCUUCUGUCUCUAUCACAACUAUUAAUUCCACCAUUACCACCAAUAUUGCUACCACCACUACUACUCCCGCUAUCGUCACAACAUCCUCUUCUACAUUUUCAGAUAAUCUUGUACUUUCUCGACUUGGAUCAGUUGAAUUAUCAUUUCAAUCGCAACUUGGAUCAGAGUUUUCACAAACUUUUCCUGAGUUUCAAAACAUGACUGAAGAAAAAGAAAAAGUAAGAGCCGUUUUACCAACAAAUUGCGAUGCUACAACAUUUAUUAAUCAGAACAUAUCGGGAAUAGCUGUAACGAGUCUUGAAAAUUCACAGAUAUUACACGCCGAUGAAGCUGGUUCGGUUACGUUGCCGAUUUAUUCCGGCGACCAGACACUUACACCAGAAAGCAUACGGGAAAUAGAAGAAACAUUAAAUCAACAAUUUUUUAAUAUAGGAAUGAAUCUUAACCUAGGGAGUAAUCAGUCGAGACAUUCGAACAAUACAAAUACGAAUGAUUUCGAUCAUAUGAAAGAACAACAGCCUGUAAUGAAUGUAAUAUAUGAAAAUAAUAAUAACGAUAAUAGUAAUAGUAAUGUAGAAACAUCUAGAGAAAAUGUUUUUUCGUCGCAAUUAGAUUCAUUUGAGAUGGAUCAUAUUACUUUGCAAUCGGACGCUGAAAUCGACAUCGGUUUAGAUACAAGAAAUUCAACUAAUAUGGCGAGUAUAUUGCCUAGAAAUGGGAAAGAUGAACAUGAACUUUCUGUUUGUGUUACAACAUCAGAUAAUACAAACGUUGAACAAACAGAGAGAUCUGGUAUGCAAGCAGUAGUAUUUGUUUCUCAGCAAAAUUUUCCUAGAAAAGAGGGAAUAGAAGAUAAAUUUGCAAUAGAAGAAACUCAAAAGAGCAAUAUCAUUCAUAAGCAAUGUACAAUUAACCCGAUAUUUUUUACAGAAGAAUUUCGGGAAACAUCGCAAAAUUUCAAGGCUCAGUCAAAUACGCGCAGUUUGUCAUCCGAUGUUACAGGAAUUAAAGUCGCUACGAGUAAAAUAUCUCGUGGGCAAUCUUUAUUACAGUGUCAUAUGUGUAAUCAACAAGGAUUCACGACAAUUGCAUUAAAAGAACAUUUGACAAGCCAUCGUGGAACAAAAGAAUAUCAGUGUACGGAAUGUUCUUCAAAAUUUUACACAAAUGCUGGAUUAAAUAGACAUUCGAAGAUUCAUUUUAUUAAACAAUUAUAUAAAUGUUCAUCAUGUGACAAAUAUUUUAAUGAUAAGAUCGAACUGCAAUCGCAUUCUAAAAUUCAUGAAAUUCCAAUAUGGAAUGCAUCAGGAAUAAAUAGCGCGACAGAAAAUUCAACCCUUUCAUCAGAAAUGCAAUCAGUUGUAAAUGGUCAUUCAUCUUUAAAUAUCAUAAUAGAUACAGAUUCUGCAAUUUCGGAAAAAGUUCUGUUAGAUACGGUAGCAGAAAAAGAAGUAAUGGAUCGAGUGGAACGAAAAUUAUUAUAUACAUGUCAUAUAGAAUAUCUUGGUCGAGGAAAAGGAACGGAAGGAGUAUACGAAUAAGUGUAAAUAUUGUCCGAAAACAUUUCGCAAGCCAAGUGAUCUCACAAGACAUAUACGUACACACACAGGAGAACGACCGUACAAGUGCAAUUACUGUAAUAAAAGUUUCGCUGUAAAAUGUACUUUGGAUUCACAUACGAAAGUUCAUACUGGGAAAAAAACAUUUCGUUGUCACGUAUGCAACAGUUUAUUUGCGACCAAAGGUAGUUUGAAAGUUCAUAUGCGUUUACAUACAGGUUCAAAACCAUUUAAAUGCCCUAUUUGUGAUUCGAGAUUUCGAACAUCCGGUCAUAGAAAAGUGCAUUUAUUGAAGCAUGCACGCGAAUACAAAGAUAAUCCAAAAAGAAAGCAAAAACAUUUAAAAGUUACGGCUAUAGCUGAAGUGGCAGCUAAUCUUGAAAAAUGUGACAAAAAAGAGAAGGAAGUAAAUAACUUUGAUACAAAG
rnacentral:misc_RNA from 1 species